rnacentral:sRNA from 1 species
CGGUGAGUGCGGGCGCGGGCCGGCGGCCGGGCUGCCUGUGGGCGGUGACUUUCGGCUCUCCAUGCGGUUCCCGGCUCCAGGCCGUUCGACUGAGCACUUCCGGCCGGGGCCAGGCCGCGAACACAGGCCACAUAGGGCGGGCGCUCCUCGGGGCUGGGGCCUCUCGCCGGGCAGGUCCUGGGCCCCCGGGACCACGUGCGGGCCCAGCGGGCAUGGAGUGCGCUUGAGGCUCGGCGCUCCGGCUCCAAGAGCCUUCGUGUAGAAAAGCUCUUCCGCAGUGCUUGGGCACCCUGACCCGUGCCUCGUCUCUCUCAGGGACACUUACUCGGACCUCUUUCGGUGUAAUUGCCUUGAAUUCCCCCGGUCGUGGAGGAAGGCGCCCGAGCUCGGCUCCACCUCCCAGGUCUUGUAACUUAAAAAUAGCCGCGUGACUCAGGCAAGUCCCAGCCCGUGAAACAGCAGUGAUGGGCUCGCCUCAUUGCAGGGCGCCUGGCACACAUCUCUUUUGCUUGUGAUAGAAUAUUUGAGCUGGUUAAACAUGUUAUGUACACUUAUUGAGUGACGUGCAGCAUUUUGGAGAUAUUACAUACGCUACGUUUUGAUGGAUUGACGUUUUUAUUUGUUGUAGGAGGAUAAGAUCAAUGCCCUCAUUAAAGCAGCCGGUGUAAAUGUUGAACCUUUUUGGCCUGGCUUGUUUGCAAAGGCCCUGGCCAACGUCAACAUUGGGAGCCUCAUCUGCAAUGUAGGGGCCGGUGGACCUGCUCCAGCAGCUGGUGCUGCACCAGCAGGAGGUCCUGCCCCCUCCACUGCUGCUGCUCCAGCUGAGGAGAAGAAAGUGGAAGCAAAGAAAGAAGAAUCCGAGGAGUCUGAUGAUGACAUGGGCUUUGGUCUUUUUGACUAAACCUCUUUUAUAACGUGUUCAAUAAAAAGCUAAACUUUA